rnacentral:rRNA from 1 species
CACGGGGGGAGCAAGCGUUGUUCGGAAUCACUGGGCGUAAAGGGCGUGUAGGCGGUCAGGUAAGUGGAAUGUGAAAGCCCUCGGCUCACCCGAGGAUCUGCAUUCCAAACUGCCUGGCUUGAGUAUGGGAGAGGAUGAGGGAAUUCCUGGUGUAGCGGUGAAAUGCGCAGAUAUCAGGAGGAACACCGAUGGCGAAGGCAGGUCUCUGGGCCACUACUGACGCUGAGAAGCGAAAGCAUGGGGAGCGAACAGG